rnacentral:piRNA from 1 species
AAUGAAUGGAAAAGGUUGGAGGAGGCC